rnacentral:sRNA from 1 species
UAAGCACCUCGUUAGGCGAGGCGUCUACACGGAUACAGGCCACUGACCCCGAACGUCGAGAGACGCCCAGGGUCAGGACAGCUCCUCCCGGCUUAAGGGUUGAGCCCAAGUGGCUUCCGGGUUCCGGAUACGCCGUGUAGUGCCGAAGCUCUGACGAGUGGGGUGCGGC